rnacentral:misc_RNA from 1 species
GACCAUAUUGCCCUUUAUCGGUCUGAUCAAAUUUUCUAGUAAUACUGAGUUACUUUCAGAACUCUGAUUCAAUUGUUUGAACUGGUUCUCUAUUCUUUUCUGUGGUUUUCACAUUACCAUUAGCUUCUCAAUUAUCUCUAGGCCUGGGGUGCAACAGGGUUCCACACGAAAUUAGGGUAGCGACUGAGCUCGCAGUCGCUUCCUAAUUCGGUCACCCAUCGCUGUGACCUCGACUCAUUUAACCCAUUAUGCUUUGU